CUUGAUUACAUUAAUCAUUGCUCUUUAAUCUGAUUUACCAUUACACUUCACUGCUGUGCACUUCCCUCUCUUUGCCAUUUUCCUUUCUCUAUCUCUUUAGUGUCUCUGUCUCUCUCAAGCUUAUGCUUCAGUACUGACGUCAUCAAGUAUUUCAUUGAAUCCAAUUCAAGUUUCAAGCUAUGAAGUAUCAAGAGCAAAGGACUAUUAUAUGCAUGACCAAACAUUGUUGUAUUGUUGUGUGUUAUUUAUUUCUUUAAAUUGCCAAAAAAUAUUUUAAAUAA
rnacentral:lncRNA from 1 species